AUACGUAGGUGGCAAGCGUUGUCCGGAAUUAUUGGGCGUAAAGCGCGCGCAGGUGGUUCCUUAAGUCUGAUGUGAAAGCCCCCGGCUCAACCGGGGAGGGUCAUUGGAAACUGGGGAACUUGAGUGCAGAAGAGGAUAGUGGAAUUCCAAGUGUAGCGGUGAAAUGCGUAGAGAUUUGGAGGAACACCAGUGGCGAAGGCGACUUUCUGGUCUGUAACUGACGCUGAGGCGCGAAAGCGUGGGGAGCAAACAGGAUUAGAUACCCUGGUAGUCCACGCCGUAAACGAUGAGUGCUAAGUGUUAGGGGGUUUCCGCCCCUUAGUGCUGCAGCUAACGCAUUAAGCACUCCGCCUGGGGAGUACGGUCGCAAGACUGAAACUUAAAUGAAUUGACGGGG
rnacentral:rRNA from 1 species